ACAAGCCUGACUAACCUGCAUCAAGCUGUUGUAGCUUAGAUAUGCUUUAUCCUCCAAAGGAUCAGAGCUGUCGAUUAGCCAUAAAUGGAAAACUAAUGUUAUGGGAUAGAGACUUUAAGAUGUGGGAGCCUGAUGGGAGAUAAUUACGUCAUGGAGGAUACACUCUAAUAAACAGAGGAUUGUAUUCUCACAAAAGAGAAUGAAGGCUAAGGAAUCUGAAGAAUACUGGACAAAUGAGACAUCUGAAGAAAAAGAACAAAUCAUCUAGAAAAAAAUAUCCCAAGAAAAAUAGUAAAUUGGCCUAUUGUUUUCUGCAGGGAAUCAUGACCAGGCCAAACAUCAAUUUUGAAGUCUCCAGAAAGAUGAUGGGACCCCACAACAAUGAUUCCACAUAGACAAUAAUAACACCACAAAGCUGACAAACAUCUCCAAAAGAUCAGCUUUGGACUACAGACUGCUCAGAACAAUUUCCUGAUGGCUAGCUGAGAUGAUCCAGCUUCAAGACUACUUGAACAAGGAUUUGAGAUAAGUCCUGAACUUUUGCUUUAUGCAGAGACUGGACAACAAAUGACAACUACCUCUGCUGGAACUUGACAAUUAACUCAAAAUUUUUCUUUUCAGGAUCCCCUAAAGAUGCCUUCACCCACAAACAGCAGGAAGUAAUUUUAAGAACACAACACCCACAUUCUCAAGAGCACAGUCCAGAGCUGGAAGGUUAGAUGACAGUAAAUCCAACAGACGUUCCUAUAGUGAGAAGGAACAAACCAAUAUCGUGUAGUGAAUUGACCUGAGCUGUUCUUCCCGGAGGCACACAUGAGCACAUCGCGGAAAUCAUCUGUGCUAACAACCUAGGCUGGAGAGUCUCCCAUGAUCCUUUAUGUAGGCAGAGAAGAUAUCAUCUCCCUGACCAGAAGAAAAUAACAAAAACCUGAAAACUCCCAGGGAGUCUUGCUAUGAAGCAACAACAGGAGCAUGUCGCCUGCCACAUCCCACUUACGCUCAUUCAGGCAGAACAGAAACUUCAGCAGCCCAUCCUGUGGCUCUGCACUUUCCUUCCAUUCCUCCCUGUGUUUUGCCAAAAGUC